UGGCAGACUGGAGCCCAACCUUCUGUGUGCACACCUGCUGCCAAUUUUGUCAUUAGGGAGCCAUGUAUUUAAGAACUAACAAACUUUCAGCAGGUUGUCGGAGUAUUGUUGACCUUGCUACUGCUAUUGCUCACGUGAUCAUUUUUCUCGACUGCUCGCUCUUGUCGUGUUUGUUCUGGUUCUAUGUUUUUAGAAAAGAAACAACUCGCGUCUUGUCGAGUUCUCUUCCUGUUGACAUAUGAGUCUGAACAAGUAACGAUCCUCAUCCACCUAAAGCCUUCUCCUGUUUUCUCUGAUGUUGAAGGUUUACCAAGGCUUUUCCUAUGUCCCCUUUGUUUAUCCUCUCUUUUGACU